UACUACUUGGAUAACCGUAGUAAUUCUAGAGCUAAUACAUGCGUCGAUACCCUUCUGGGGUAGUAUUUAUUAGAUGGAAACCAACCCCUUCGGGGUGAUGUGGUGAUUCAUAAUAAGUUUGCGGAUCGCCGGUGGCGAUGGAUCAUUCAAGUUUCUGCCCUAUCAGCUUUGGAUGGUAGGGUAUUGGCCUACCAUGGCAUUAACGGGUAACGGAGAAUUGGGGUUCGAUUCCGGAGAGGGAGCCUGAGAGACGGCUACCACAUCUAAGGAAGG
rnacentral:rRNA from 1 species